AGUUGCUCAACCACGCAUAACUCAGGAAACAUACGCACAUGAAACUCACAAAACCAAACUGCCGCCCAACUUCUAUUUCUCCGAUUGAUAGUGUUCUUAAAUUCAAAUCUUCCACUGCUAUAAAAAAUUCAAGAAACCAUAUGAUUUCUACAAAAAUUGAAUCAAGGCUACAAAAAUUGAAAACAAUGCAAUAUUUGGAAGAACCAGACCAUUACAAUUUAGACGCUACUUUCUCGAUUGAAUAGGUUCUAUAAGAUGAAAAGGUAUUAAAAAUCUGUUAUUGUCUUAUAAUUUGUUUUGGUAAUUCUGUCUUUUAAUUUGCAUGAGUGUAUUCAUGGGAUAAUCAGUACCAAAACUCGAUUGAAGAAUUUGUGCACCAAACAUAUGUAUCCUCAAAUAUGUUUCUCAGUGAUAUACUACAGCAUAUAUCAAGUUUGCUUCUACGUUUUUUUAUUUUCAAAUCUGAAUUUUUUAAUUUGCUCUCCGUGUAUUUUUUAAAUUUCUAUUUGCAUAUUCAUGGGAUAAUCAAUAGCAAAAACAUGUAGUUAAGUUACAGAUAUUCUUAAAUCUAUUAUUUUUAGUCUUUUUCGAACACAAUAAUUUUUUUAUAUUUGUUAGGAUCCUAACUUUAAUACUAUUCUAGGCGUAGAUGAAGAGAAGGAAUGCGAGGUAAGUACAUGCUCAAUUUUAAUUUGUCCUUUAAGAUGACACUUAUUUUACUUAUAUAUGUGGAUAGAUAUAUUUGACAAUAAAAUUUUAGAUAUGGUCAAACCCGGGUUCUUCGAAGGAUACACUAAAGAACUUGAUUAUUAGAAUUCAAGGGUUUAUAUUCAGUAGUAAGUAGACAUAUAUGAUGUAUUAAAACUUAAUAAACUGCAUUAAUAUUUGUAUCGCAAGAUUAUGUUUUGUGAUAAACUGGUGCUAUCUUUGUAAGAAGGAUGAGUAAGUCAAUUAUUAUUUGUUUCUUUAUUCUAAGAGGGCGCAAUCAGAUUUGAAACAUGUUUCUUUUGUAUAACAUGCAUUGGGUAGUGGCUAAUUGUGGUAAGGCUUAUUAGGGCAUGGUUUGGUACUAACAUUUAUAACUGGAUAAUAAAAACUUGGAGCACUCCUGUUCUUAUCCCUGGUUGGAGCCUCCGGAAUAAAUUAAGAUAGAUCUCCAAUGAGUUGCUUUGAAAAAACUAUCUGAAGUUGUUUUUGGCUGGAUUGCUUAAUAUUGUGUUGCUGAAUCAUACAAGUCAUUGUA
rnacentral:lncRNA from 1 species